rnacentral:rRNA from 1 species
UACGUAGGGCGCAAGCGUUUAUCCGGAAUUAUUGGGCGUAAAGAGCUCGUAGGCGGUUUGUCGCGUCUGCCGUGAAAAUCCGGGGCUCAACCCCGGACUUGCAGUGGGUACGGGCAGACUAGAGUGUGGUAGGGGAGACUGGAAUUCCUGGUGUAGCGGUGAAAUGCGCAGAUAUCAGGAGGAACACCGGUGGCGAAGGCGGUUCUCUGGGAAUAUCCUGACGCUGAGGAGCGAAAGUGUGGGGAGCGAACAGG